UAUUAUUAAAGAGCCGCGGUAUAUUGACCGUGCAAAGGUAGCAUAAUCAUUAGGGGUUUAAUUGGAACCUGGUAUGAAGGGUUGGACAAAGGAAAAACUGUCUUUCUGAUAUAAGUUGAAAUUUACUUUUAAGUGAAAAGGCUUAAAUUAAUCAAAGGGACGAUAAGACCCUAUAAAGCAUUUUGUUGGGGUGAUGUGAGUAUAAGUAUUAACUGCUUAAAAGAAAUUCUAUCAUAAAAGGGAUGAUCCUUUAUAAAGAUUAAAAGACUAAGUUACUUUAGGGGUAACAGCGUUAUUUCUUUUGAGAGUUCAUAUCGAAAAAGAAGAUUGCGACCUCGAUGUUGAAUUAAAAUGUCUAUAUAAUGCAGUCGUUAUAAGAGAGGGUCUGUUCGACCUUUAAAGUUUU
rnacentral:rRNA from 1 species